CAAAUUGAUUUUAUGCUUGCAUAAAUGAUUUUUGGAUUCGGAGCGAGUGGCGAACUGGUGAGUAACACGUGGGUAACCUGCCCCGAAGCGGGGGAUAACAUUUGGAAACAAGUGCUAAUACCGCAUAAUUAGUUGGAACCGCAUGGUUCCAACUUGAAAGAUGGCUCUGCUAUCACUUUGGGAUGGACCCGCGCCGUAUUAGUUAGUUGGUGAGAUAAAAGCCCACCAAGACGAUGAUACGUAGCCGACCUGAGAGGGUAAUCGGCCACAUUGGGACUGAGACACGGCCCAGACUCCUACGGGAGGCAGCAGUAGGGAAUCUUCCACAAUGGACGAAAGUCUGAUGGAGCAACGCCGCGUGAGUGAUGAAGGUUUUCGGAUCGUAAAACUCUGUUGUUAAAGAAGAACAAGUGUUAGAGUAACUGUUAACACUUUGACGGUAUUUAACCAGAAAGCCACGGCUAACUACGUGCCAGCAGCCGCGGUAAUACGUAGGUGGCAAGCGUUGUCCGGAUUUAUUGGGCGUAAAGCGAGCGCAGGCGGUUUUGUAAGUCUGCUGUGAAAGCCCUCAGCUCAACUGAGGAAGUGCAGUGGAAACUACAAAACUUGAGUACAGAAGAGGAAAGUGGAACUCCAUGUGUAGCGGUGAAAUGCGUAGAUAUAUGGAAGAACACCAGUGGCGAAGGCGGCUUUCUGGUCUGUUACUG
rnacentral:rRNA from 2 species